rnacentral:misc_RNA from 1 species
UAGAUAAAAUUCAAACUCAAAGAUAUUCUCGUACCACUGGCUACCCACAUUACACCGCCGUAGCUGGCAGGAAACCUACCUGCACGUGUCUGUUUGUGUUGGCUUUAUGCUGGGAAAAUUUGCUGAAAGGAUGGCAGACAAGUAUCAGCAGUUGAUGAAACUCAUUGUCAUCGGAGACAGUGGCGUCGGCAAGUCGUGUCUGCUGCACCGAUUCAUCGAGGACACUUUUUCUGAAGAGCAAACGCAGACCAUCGGCAUUGAGUAUGGUGCGAAGAUUAUUGACUUGGGCGGAGCAAAGAUCAAGCUGCAGAUUUGGGACACGGCUGGCCAGGAGCGGUACAAGUCGGUAACGAGGAGCUAUUAUCGUGGUGCCACGGGAUGCCUCAUUGUCUACGAUGUCAACAAUAGAGGCUCGUACGAAAGCGUUCCGCAGUGGUUAAGUGACGUACGACAGCUAGCAGGAAGCGAUGUCGUAGUAAUGCUCAUCGGAAAUAAAAUCGAUGUGGCGAAAGCGAACAGCGUUCGCGCAGUCCAGCACAACGAGGCAUCUUUGUACGCACAGCAAAACGGUCUGCUGCACUUUGAAACUUCCGCAGCUACAGGCGAGUUUGUCUCUGAAGCUUUCCUGAGAGUCGCCAAAAGUGCCGUGUCGUUGGCAAGCGCUGCGGAGCCAGAAAACGACACCCAGCUAAGCCAGGACAACACGGCAAACAACUCAUAUCUUUCGUCGUGCUCUUGCUAGCUCUACUGCUCCAUGUUUUUGAACUGCACUUGCUUGACCUCCGUUGCAGAAACGCUCUUUGCUACAUGUUUUUCUAUUUGAUUUACUCUCAGCGCUUUGAUAUUGCUCUGAACGCUGCAUUUUGGUGUUCCCUUUUCUGUCGCUAAACAUGCUGUUUCUUUUUUUUUUUCUAUUUACUACUGUCCUUCAUGCGAACAGACACAAACUCAAAAAAAAAACGGACUUUAAUCUGGAGCAACGACAAUGAGGCUGCUGUAGUACGUUGGCGCUCGGCGGCCUGAAAAAGCUGAGUUCUUAUUGACCGCUUUGCCAGCAGCAGCCGUGGUUGGCAACAUAAUCAGCCCUGGCAAACGGGCGUAUGACUGUCUCUUGCAAUUGACGCGGCUGUGUGUGUAUUUUUGCGCUGGUAUACCCUUUGCGGAGAUCAUCUGCCUGCCUCGAGUGUGUGUGCUCUAGUUCUCGACCAACUACACUUCUCUGUCUCACCUCUUCGUGACGGAUGCGUUCUCUUUUUUUUUAUUCGUGAGCGAACGGCAUGUCUUUAUGUCGAAUGCGUCUAUAAAG